AGCAAAAGAAACCAACAGGGAUUGCCUCAGUAACUGCGAGUGAAGCGGCAAAAGCUCAAAUUUGAAAUCUGGUACCUCUGGGUGCUCGAGUUGUAAUUUGGAGAGGCAACUUCGGAGGGGGCGCUGGCCUAAGUUCCUUGGAACAGGACGUCACAGAGGGUGAGAAUCCCGUGCUUGGCUGGCUGUCCUCCUUCAUGUGAAGUGUCUUCGACGAGUCGAGUUGUUUGGGAAUGCAGCUCAAAAUGGGUGGUAAACUCCAUCUAAGGCUAAAUACUGGCGAGAGACCGAUAGCGCACAAGUAGAGUGAUCGAAAGAUGAAAAGCACUUUGAAAAGAGAGUUAAACAGUACGUGAAAUUGUUGAAAGGGAAGCGCUUGAGACCAGACUCGGUGAUUGGUGAUCAGCGGUAGCUUCUGCUCCGUGCACUUGCCUUUUACUGGGCCAGCAUCAGUUGCGACGGCAGGAUAAAGGCUCAGGGAAUGUGGCUCUCUUCGGGGAGUGUUAUAGCCCUGGGUGUAAUGCUGCCUGCCGCGACUGAGGACCGCGCUUCGGCUAGGAUGCUGGCAUAAUGGUCUUCAGCGAC
rnacentral:rRNA from 1 species